GACGGAGGGUGCUAGCGUUUUUCGGAAUCACUGGGCGUAAAGGGCGCGUAGGCGGCCUGGAAAGUCAGAUGUGAAAGCCCGGGGCUCAACCCCGGAAUUGCAUUUGAGACUCCCUGGCUGGAGGUCGAGAGAGGAGAGUGGAAUACCCAGUGUAGAGGUGAAAUUCGUAGAUAUUGGGAGGAACACCAGUGGCGAAGGCGGCGACCUGGCACGAUACUGACGCUGAGGCGCGAAAGCGUGGGGAGCAAACAGG
rnacentral:rRNA from 1 species